GAUGAACGCUAGCGAUAGGCCUAACACAUGCAAGUCGAGGGGCAUCACAUGAAGUAGCAAUACGGAUGGUGGCGACCGGCGCACGGGUGAGUAACACGUAUGCAACCUGCCUUCAACAAGGGGAUAACCCGUUGAAAGACGGACUAAUACCCUAUAACACAGGGGUCCCGCAUGGGGAUAUUUGUUAAAGGACAACCGGUUGAAGAUGGGCAUGCGUUCCAUUAGCUAGUUGGCGGGGUAACGGCCCACCAAGGCAACGAUGGAUAGGGGAACUGAGAGGUUUAUCCCCCACACUGGUACUGAGACACGGACCAGACUCCUACGGGAGGCAGCAGUGAGGAAUAUUGGUCAAUGGACGCAAGUCUGAACCAGCCACGUCGCGUGAAGGAAGACGGCCCUACGGGUUGUAAACUUCUUUUAACGGGAAUAAAGUGCCCCACGCGUGGGGUUUUGCAUGUACCGUAUGAAUAGCCCCGGCUAACUUCGUG
rnacentral:rRNA from 1 species